rnacentral:tRNA from 1 species
GGGAAUGUGGCUUAGUGGUAGAGUGCUUGCCUAACAUGCAUGAAACCCUGGGUUCGAUUCUUCACUACCA